rfam:Akkermansia muciniphila ATCC BAA-835, complete genome.
CCAGUUCGGCAGGGGUGCCCAAAUAAAGGCUGAGAUUGCAGGAACGGCAUGCUGUUCCCGCAGAACCCUUCAAACCUGAUGCGAAUAAUUCCGCCGCAGGGAGUUCGAUUGAACGGGCUU